rnacentral:rRNA from 1 species
AUUGAACGCUGGCGGCAGGCCUAACACAUGCAAGUCGAACGGUAACAGGAAGAAGCUUGCUUCUUUGCUGACGAGUGGCGGACGGGUGAGUAAUGUCUGGGAAACUGCCUGAUGGAGGGGGAUAACUACUGGAAACGGUAGCUAAUACCGCAUAACGUCGCAAGACCAAAGAGGGGGACCUUCGGGCCUCUUGCCAUCGGAUGUGCCCAGAUGGGAUUAGCUAGUAGGUGGGGUAACGGCUCACCUAGGCGACGAUCCCUAGCUGGUCUGAGAGGAUGACCAGCCACACUGGAACUGAGACACGGUCCAGACUCCUACGGGAGGCAGCAGUGGGGAAUAUUGCACAAUGGGCGCAAGCCUGAUGCAGCCAUGCCGCGUGUAUGAAGAAGGCCUUCGGGUUGUAAAGUACUUUCAGCGGGGAGGAAGGUAGUAAAGUUAAUACCUUUGCUCAUUGACGUUACCCGCAGAAGAAGCACCGGCUAACUCCGUG